GAUGAACGCUGGCGGCGUGCUUAACACAUGCAAGUCGAACGGAAAGGCUCCUGCUUGCAGGGGUACUCGAGUGGCGAACGGGUGAGUAACACGUGGGUGUUCUGCCCUGCACUUCGGGAUAAGCCUGGGAAACUGGGUCUAAUACCGGAUAGGACGAUGGUUUGGAUGCCAUUGUGGAAAGUUUUUCGGUGUGGGAUGAGCUCGCGGCCUAUCAGCUUGUUGGUGGGGUAAUGGCCUACCAAGGCGUCGACGGGUAGCCGGCCUGAGAGGGUGUACGGCCACAUUGGGACUGAGAUACGGCCCAGACUCCUACGGGAGGCAGCAGUGGGGAAUAUUGCACAAUGGGCGCAAGCCUGAUGCAGCGACGCCGCGUGGGGGAUGACGGCCUUCGGGUUGUAAACUCCUUUCGCUAGGGACGAAGCGCAAGUGACGGUACCUGGAGAAGAAGCACCGGCUAACUACGUG
rnacentral:rRNA from 1 species